UAAUAGGUAGAUAGAUUUAGAACAUCAGAUGUGUGUGAUCCGCUGCAGUGAGUGUGUACUGUAACUCAGAAUAGGGGCUACAGUCAAGGCAGACGACCAGGGCACGGCAGUGACGGGGAGCGCAUCGCACGUCUGAAGCGUAAUGACGGCAUCCACCCCUGCCUAUUGUCCGGGCCAAGAAUGACAUUGGGUGAGGUGUCGGGUGACCAGCGCACGACAGGGGUUAGGAGUCUAACGUACAGCGAAAAGGCGAUGACGUAAUCCACCCGCGCCGGCGCACCUGAUCGAGGAGAACGCUGCACGAGAAAUAUCGGUUUUGAUUAUCCCUAAAGAAAACCAUCACUCUCAGUGUAUGUACUAUGCCAUCUGCUUCUGCAUUUCAUGUGCCUAGGACAAAACCAGCUGCAUGGAUGUGUCCAUAGAGAGUGAUCUGGCAGCUGAAACAAACAUAAAAGCC